rnacentral:lncRNA from 1 species
AAAUAAUCAGUUUAAUUAUGAAAUAUUAGUCGUAAACUUUAAAGUGUGCUGGAGUGACCCUUCCCCAUAACCCAUAGAUCUUAGGUUAAAGAGCGGAGUCUGACUAGACGUCCUCCCUGGGGUCUGCGCAGGGCAGUGCCCACCGGGCUCCAGGCCUCGCCUGUCAGAGUUGCGCCUGCGCCGGCUGAAGGCUUUCCCGCGACCAGACCCGCUCCUGGGUGUUCCCGCCAGUCACCUGGAGGCCCUCGCGUGGCUCCCGGUCCGCCGGUCUGCGUGGGGCCCCGCGGCCCCGCGGGUCCCUGGCACCAGGCGAUCACAGCAGCUGACGUCACGGCACGCACUGAUUUGGACAAUGAUAGCCUCUGGUCAUUCCUGGGAAGGAACUAGUUCCUCUGUGUGUGCACAAAUCCC